UCUGUGCACUCGUGGGACAAGAACGAUC
rnacentral:piRNA from 1 species